rnacentral:misc_RNA from 1 species
AACGAGGCCGACCUGCGGCUGAGUUACCUGCGGAAGGAUCAUUACAUUCAGUAGCCUAGCUACUUGUUUAUACCCUUGUUUUUUGCGUACCUAUUGUUUCCUCGGUGGGCUUGCCUGCCGAUUGGACAAAACUAUAACCUUUUUAAAUCUUCAAUCAGCGUCUGAAUUAUACAUAAUAAUUACAACUUUCAACAACGGAUCU